rnacentral:misc_RNA from 1 species
GAUGAAGAACGUAGCGAAAUGCGAUACGUAAUGUGAAUUGCAGAAUUCAGUGAAUCAUCGAAUCUUUGAACGCAUAUUGCGCUCUUUGGUAUUCCGAAGAGCAUGCUUGUUUGAGUAUCAGUAAACACCUCAAAGACUUCAAUUUGUUUUGAAUGGCUUUGGACUUGAGCAAUCCCAACACCAGUCUUUACGAUCGGUGGAGGGUUGCUUGAAAUGCAGGUGCAGCUGGACAUUCUCCUGAGCUAAAAGCAUAUUUAUUUAGUUCCGUCAAACGGAUUAUUACUUUUGCUGCAGCUAACAUAAAGGGAGUUUGACCGUAUUGGCUGACUGAUGCAGGAUUUCACAAGGGUCGGCAACGAUUCUUGUAAAACUCGAUCUCAAAUCAAGUAAGACUACCCGCUGAACUUAAGCAUAUCAAUAAGCGGAGGA